rnacentral:rRNA from 1 species
UACAGAGGUCUCAAGCGUUGUUCGGAUUCACUGGGCGUAAAGGGUGCGUAGGUGGUGAGGUAAGUCGGAUGUGAAAUCUCCGGGCUCAACCCGGAAAUGGCAUUGGAAACUACCUUGCUGGAGGAUUUGAGGGGGGAUUGGAAUACUUGGUGUAGCAGUGAAAUGCGUAGAUAUCAAGUGGAACACCAGUGGCGAAGGCGAAUCCCUGGAAAAUACCUGACACUGAGGCACGAAAGCUAGGGGAGCAAACAGG